rnacentral:rRNA from 1 species
AAACUUCUUUAUCACCGAGUGCUUGCACUCACCGAUAAAGAGUUGAGUGGCGAACGGGUGAGUAACACGUGGGCAACCUGCCCAAAAGAGGGGGAUAACACUUGGAAACAGGUGCUAAUACCGCAUAACCAUAGUUACCGCAUGGUAACUAUGUAAAAGGUGGCUAUGCUACCGCUUUUGGAUGGGCCCGCGGCGCAUUAGCUAGUUGGUGGGGUAAAGGCUUACCAAUGCGAUGAUGCGUAGCCGAACUGAGAGGUUGAUCGGCCACAUUGGGACUGAGACACGGCCCAAACUCCUACGGGAGGCAGCAGUAGGGAAUCUUCCACAAUGGGCGAAAGCCUGAUGGAGCAACGCCGCGUGGGUGAAGAAGGUCUUCGGAUCGUAAAACCCUGUUGUUAGAGAAGAAAGUGCGUGAGAGUAACUGUUCACGUUUCGACGGUAUCUAACCAGAAAGCCACGGCUAACUACGUGCCAGCAGCCGCGGUAAUACGUAGGUGGCAAGCGUUAUCCGGAUUUAUUGGGCGUAAAGGGAACGCAGGCGGUCUUUUAAGUCUGAUGUGAAAGCCUUCGGCUUAACCGGAGUAGUGCAUUGGAAACUGGGAGACUUGAGUGCAGAAGAGGAGAGUGGAACUCCAUGUGUAGCGGUGAAAUGCGUAGAUAUAUGGAAGAACACCAGUGGCGAAAGCGGCUCUCUGGUCUGUAACUGACGCUGANGUUCGAAAGCGUGGGUAGCAAACUGGAUUAGAUACCCUGGUAGUCCACGCCGUAAACGAUGAAUGCUAAGUGUUGGAGGGUUUCCGCCCUUCAGUGCUGCAGCUAACGCAAUAAGCAUUCCGCCUGGG